rnacentral:rRNA from 1 species
CCUACGGGAGGCAGCAGUGGGGAAUAGUGCACAAUGGGGGAAACCCUGAUGCAGCAACGCCGCGUGAGUGAUGACGGCCUUCGGGUGGGAAAGCUCUGUCUUCAGGGACGAGAAGGACGGUACCUGAGGAGGAAGCCACGGCGAACGACGGGCCAGCAGCCGCGGUAAUACGUAGGGGGCGAGCGUUGUCCGGAUUUACUGGGCGUACCGGGAGCGUAGGCGGACUUUUACGUGAGAGGGGAAAUACUCGGGCUCCACUUGAGUGCUGCCUUUCAAACUGGAAGUCUAGAGUGCAGGAGCGGAGACUUGCAUUCCUCUUGUAGCGGUGAACUGCGUCGAGAUUAGGCAGACCACCAGUGGCGAAGGCGCUUCUCUGGACUGUACCUGACGCUGCGGCUCGCACGCGUGGGGAGCACACAGGAUUAGCUACCCGGGUAGUC